AUUGAACGCUGGCGGCAUGCUUUACACAUGCAAGUCGAACGGUAACAGGCCUUCGGGUGCUGACGAGUGGCGAACGGGUGAGUAAUGCAUCGGAACGUACCCAGAGGUGGGGGCUAUCGCAGCGAAAGCUGUGCUAAUACCGCAUGUGAUCUGAGGAUGAAAGCGGGGGACCGCGCAGCAAUGUUUGGCCUCGCGCCUUUGGAGCGGCCGAUGUCGGAUUAGCUAGUUGGUGGGGUAAAGGCCUACCAAGGCGACGAUCCGUAGCUGGUCUGAGAGGACGACCAGCCACACUGGGACUGAGACACGGCCCAGACUCCUACGGGAGGCAGCAGUGGGGAAUUUUGGACAAUGGGCGCAAGCCUGAUCCAGCAAUGCCGCGUGCGGGAAGAAGGCCUUCGGGUUGUAAACCGCUUUUGGCAGGAACGAAACGGUGUCCGCUAAUACCGGGCGCUAAUGACGGUACCUGCAGAAUAAGCACCGGCUAACUACGUG
rnacentral:rRNA from 1 species